CCAGUUAUUUUAUUGCAGAUUAUGCGAAUGUAAAUUUUAUAUAGAGCCAGCUACGGUCAGUGUCAAGUUCUUGGAUAGUGGUAUUGAUACGGAUUUUGCGGAUUCCCAUGUAUAUAAAUAUUGAGUCAUUCACUUUGUGAUUGGAGUGAAUGGAAAAUUUUCAAAGGAUUCGGAAUCUGGUAUUAAUUAUAUAUAUUUUUAGUGCAAUACUUAAUUGUUAUGAUUAUUAUAAACAGUAUAAUAUCGGUUAAUGGAAUAAAUAUAAACAAGAAAAUGUAGAUUUUGGAAUAUCAAAAGUACCUCAAGCUCAAUGACCUCGAAGGAUGCAUACACAAGAAAUACGCAGUAUAAGGUAUUAUGACGUAAAUGGCGGGGAAAGGAAACACGUCACAAAUGCCUUUAUAAUUUAUUGUCGUUUAAAACUGCUUGUUUUUUAUAUUUGUAUAAUAUAUAGAAUAAAAGUGUAUAUUUAGUAAACAAAAAAAAAUCAAAAAUUCAACGACCUAGAUAUUUAAAAAUAAUUACUUUUAAGAACAUUUAUAAAAUAAGAAGCAAUCUGAAUGUUAUAACAAUAUUAGAUUGAUUCAUUAAUUAAUAUUUUAAUAAUAUUGUAAAAUAAAAAAAGAAUCCAACUAAUUGCAUGGCGAUUUUUGAGUUAUAAACUUGUUUGCCGUGUUACAGAUAAAAAAAAUUGGAACGGCUGUAAGAACAAUCUGGAAAAAAAAAUAUUAAAAACUUCCCGAGCUCACGGACGUUCGCAGUUGUUAGUCACAGACAACAUUAUUUACUAUUAAUCUCUAAAACGGCUGAAUCGGUUUUGACGAAACUUUCAAUGACGGAUAGCUGAUGAAGUAAAUAGUUAUUU